GGCAGUGUAGUAUAAUGGGUAAGAAACUGGUCUUCUAAGCUAAAGGUCACGGGUUCAAUUCCCCGGUAGGACACUGCCG
rnacentral:tRNA from 1 species